rnacentral:lncRNA from 1 species
CGGGGCUCGGGAGAGGGGCCUGGCAGGAGCGUUCGGAACCCCGGGAAGCAGAAAGGAGUGCUCCGCGUUUCCCGCGCGGGUUCUCCCGCCUCGGCUCUGAGCGGACUGGAGGGGUCAGUUGGACCACCUGCCUGCGUCGUCACGGAGGGCCCCCUGGAAAAGGCGGAGGGGCGGGGAGCUGUUGCUGCUGUGGAAAGAAUGGAUUAGGGAAAGACCAGCAUAGAAGCAGGAGACCAGUUGGGAGGCUGAUGCAGUGGUCCAGGCUUUGUGUAAGGUGCUGUGGUUACCAAGGUGAAUACCCCUAUCUGGUAGGGAAGGUGGAUGUGAACAUACGCAAAGACCGUGUGCGGCGGGGUCAGCGCUGUGACAGAGCAACCAGCGGUACUCCAGUUGGUGUUUCUCACGUCAGCCUGGUGUCCAGAGUGAGAGUAACGUGGAACAGAGCCCCCAGCUGACCUGUGACGGACACAUAGCAUGAGAAAGAAAUAAACCUUAUUUUUUUCAACUACUGAGAUUUUGGAGUUUUUUGUUCCCACAGCUUAAUUUAGGCCAUCCUGACCAACUCUAAUGCUGACUAGUUUAGAGAGGAAAGGGAUUGUUGGUUUCUUAAUCUCUGUGUCGUUGUAUAUAGCACAACAAUGUGAAUGUAUUUAAUGCCACUGAACUAUACUCUUAAAAAAGGGUAAAAUGGUCAAUUUUAUGCUAAAUAUAUUUUACCUAAAUAAAAAAAAUAUCAUCAGCAGGCAAUCAGAUGUUUAUUAGGGGCCUAGGAGGUAAUUCUAUGUAAAUGGCUUUGAUGGCCAAAAACAUAUUCUUUCUUGCAUUCAUUCGGCAAACCUUUACUGAGCACCGCCUCUGUGUCCAUCACCAUGCUA